AAAGUACAUUUUUGUACUUUAUCCUCAGUAAGUUGCUCGCAAUUAAGAACAGAAUAAAGCGGCGCAUUUUUGUAAAAAAAUCUCGAGGGAACCUUUGAGUUCCACAACCACCAUUGAUGACGCAUCAAUUUUGGAGGGCUUAAAAGGUUUUUAUAUUAGCAAUUGCAACGUUGUCGCCGGCAAUCUGGUUGUCGUUUCCGUACCGUUCUUGUACGAAUGUUCUGAAACGCCGUUCGAUGCAAGAAAUUGUCAUUCUGUGUUGAAACUAAAAGUGUGAAUGGCUAAUGGAAUUGGUUAGUUGAGGACUUGUGGUAUAGCCUCAAUGGAAAUAAUCAAGCCUUUGUCAGAGGAUCUUCAUAGUAUGGUGCGGUCAGGGAUCAUCAUCAACUGCUUAACUACUGUUGUUGAAGAGCUCAUAUACAACAGCCUGGAUGCUGGUGCCACAAAGGUAUUAGUUUCUGUUGCUGUUAACAAUGGCUAUGUUAAAGUAGAGGAUGAUGGAUCCGGUAUUAGCAGGGAAGGACUACUGUUGCUAGGGGAAAGAUAUGCAACAUCAAAAUCUCCCCAUUCACAUGAAGAAAAGGAUAAAGUGAAAAGCUUUGGAUUUCGUGGAGAAGUCUUAUGCUCAAUUGCCGACAUCUCUUUGGUAGAAAUUGUAACUAGAAUUCAUGGGAGACCUAAUGGGUAUCGAAAAGUAAUGAAGGGUCGAAAAUGCCUUUGUCUUAGUAUUGAUAAUGAUAGACAAGAUGUCGGUACAACUGUCGUUGUUCGCGAUUUAUUUUACAAUCAACCUGUGCGGAGAAGACAAAUGCAAUGCAGUGCCAAGAAGAUUUUACAUGAAGUUAAAAAAUGCGCUGUAUGGAUUGCUCUUGUGCAGCCAAAAACUUCCUUCAAAGUCAUUGACAUGGAAAGUGAAGAUGAAUUGCUUUGCACACGUAGUUGUCCUACUCCUUUGUCAUUAUUGUGCUGCAAUUUUGGUAUUGAAGCCUCUUGUUUACACGAGCUAAGCUUUUCAGAAGGACUGUUUAAGCUUACUGGAUAUGUCUCUGCUGUGUCUAGUACUUUCUCUUCCAAGGCAGUGCAAUAUAUAUAUGUUAAUUCAAGGAUUGUUGUUAAAGGCCCGAUUCAUAAAGUUCUGAAUCGUCUGGCAGAUAUGUAUCAUGACCAGUUAAGAGGUAAUAGAGGCGAGAAGAGAGGUCAGCUUCAUGGAGGUCUGUUGUACUGUUUGAAUCUGACCUGUCCGUGCUACUUGUACGAUUUGAAUCUUGAAAUUUCCAGGGCGUCUGUAGAAUUCAAGGAUUGGGCUCCUGUACUUUCAUUUGUUGAAAAAUCAGUUAUGUCCUUGUGGAGUGAGGAAACAAGAAGGGGGAUUUCUCAUAAUCAGGAUACUGAUAGGAUCAGGAAAGAUGGCAUGGAGAAAGUUGGUGUAAAGUCUUCUUCAGUGGAAAAAGAUUCAUGGUUGAGGACCUGUGAAAUGUCUACAAAGAGACGCAGGAUCCAGAAUAGUGAGAAUCAGCAGGCAUGCUCUAAAGAAUCACUGGGAAUGAAAGUUAAAGACUGCAACAAUUUAUCUCCGUGGAAGAACAUUUGUAGAGAGCACAUGAUUUCAGAAAGAAUCUCAGUGGAUUUAAGAGAAUCAGAUACAGAGAGGGAGUCUGCACGCAAGAUGGAAUUUAUUGGACUAGAUGAUGUGUCUCGCUCUAACUGCAUCCUGAGUGUCACAAAUUGUUUUGGCAUUGAUCUUCUGCAGUCUAAUAAAGAACUACAAAAUAUAGAUAUUUUGAGCAAUAAUAUCUGUAUUGAAGGUGACGAUAUCACUAUGGAAAGAGAGCCCAAUGACACGAACAACUGUCUUUCAAGUUCGAGAUGGAAGGAUGAAGUUAGUGUAGAUGAUUCACUUGUUGAGAGCAGUGAAAUAUCAAGCAUUUAUAGUUUCGAGAUGAUGCCGGAGAAUGGAAUGAGUAGGGUCAAUGAUAAUCAGAUGGACUUCCAUUUGCAAAGUGGCUUUUGGAAAAGUCCACUUCAAGCGUCCUUGUACUGUGAUAAGGAAUAUCAGUUUCAGAUUACUAAUUUCAAGGAAAAACAAAACUACAGCAAUUUCCUUUGCCUUGGAGAUGCUGAUAGUAUUAGUCCAAACAUUUUUCAUAGGGCACCAAGUCAGAUUGACUUGGCAAAUAUGACGCCAGUCAUGCCACUUCCUAAAUCCAAAAUUGCAAGCCAUACAAAAAAAGAUUCCUACAAUCAUAUGGAAUGUGACAAUUUAUUGCCAUCUUAUGGAGGUUCCUUUGAUGUAGGAUAUCCUUUAGAGUCUCCAAGUGUACAUCGUACAUCACUCUUCUUGUGCUCGCCCGCAAACUAUGUUCAGCAAUCUGAAAUUACAUAUCCUUCUCUCAGACUUAAAGAUUGGGAUUUCCAUAAUCGUAUCCAUAACGGAAGAUCAGGAGGAAGAAAUAGUAGUAGUUUUGAAAAGUUUAAUCAUGAAGAAGAGGAACUAUAUUGUGAAGGUUUUAGUGAUAGGUCUAUCGAUAAGAAUUUCGCUGUAUCGAGUUGUUUGAAUUCAACAUCACUCUUUACAAGUGAAUUACCUGAUUUUGAUAGAGUUAAGUGGAUAUAUUCCCCACAAAUGCAUAAUGUUGAUGAAAUACCCUCUAAAGCACAUUGUGACACCUUAUUUGAAGGCAUUGUUUCAACUUCAAUGGACAGAAGGCAUAGAAACUCAUCAGUUUGCUUGAGUCCAUUGACAUCCUUUAACAAUGGAAUCCAAAUGGACCUACAGAUGUGUCAAGAGUUUGGACAAGAUGAACUUCCUUUGGAAAAUCCUGGGUUGAAUUAUGAUAGCUCUGACAGCCUUAUAACAACUGGAUGUGAUUCCUUAGUAAAUAAUGAAGCAUUUUCUCCGUGUCAGGAUUCUGAAAGAGACAUUUAUAUUCCAUAUAAAUCAUCACCGUGCUUAUUUUCACCCAUAUCUACUGAUAAAACUCCCAGACCUGAUCUUGGAAGAUGCCAAGUUCUUGAUCCAAAUUGCUGUUCUUUGGAAGUUGGAAGUUGUGUGAAAUCAAAAAGAAGUCAAUCAGCUCCUCCAUUUUAUAGGGGCAAGAAGACAUAUCUCUCAGUAAAGAGUUCUUUGUUUUCUGCAACUGAAAAAUCUGCUUUAGAAACAGCUCCCCGAUAUAGUACUGUUUCAGAAAGAGCCAAGUUAAAGCACCCAUUUAGACCAGCUCAUUCCUCUAGUGUAAAACACCAGCAAGAUGGGAUGAAAAUUGGAGAAGAUUCUUUGUUAUAUGUUGAACCAAAGGAGAAGAAAAGUUCAAAUGCCAUACAAGUUAGUGCAUGGUCACAAGAUGGCAACCCAGAGCCUGCCUGUUUCAGCAAUGACUACUUGAAGUUAGCUCAGGAUUCAGAAAGUUCACGAUCCAAGUGGCGAGAGGGUUGCCCAGAUGCUGAAUUAAAGGAGAUUUCCAAUUAUCUGAAAGCUGGAGAUAGGAAGAAUGAUGUUAAAGAUGGAAACGAAAUAAUGGAUAUUCAAUCUUGUAUGCUUGAUAUCAGUGGCGGUUCAUUAGUUCCUAAAUCCAUCAGUAGAAAAGGCUUGGAGAACGCCAAGGUGCUUUGGCAGAUUGAUAAUAAAUUCAUCCCUGUCAUAGCAAAUGGAACCCUAGCUGUGAUUGAUCAGCAUGCUGCUGAUGAGAGAAUUCGGCUUGAGGAAAUGCGUCAAAAGGUUCUUUCUGGUGAAAUGAAGUCAAUAAGCUAUCUGGAAAAGGAGAGAGACUUGGUUUUGCCUGAAAUGGCCUACCAGCUACUUUGCAAUUAUGCAGAGCACCUAAAGCACUGGGGAUGGAUAUGCAACAUUUUCUCCCAAGAUUCAAAUUCAUUUGCAAAGAAUCUGAAUCUCUUGAAUGAGCGAGCAUCUCAUCUCACACUUACUGCUGUACCAUGUAUUUUGGGUGUAAACUUGUCUGAUACAGAUUUAGUGGAAUUUCUUGAACAACUUGCUGAUACUGAUGGAUCAUCAACCAUUCCACCAUCUGUAGCUCGAGUCCUAAACUACAAAGCAUGCAGAGGUGCUAUUAUGUUUGGUGACAAACUACUACCUUCUGAAUGUUCUCUCAUUGUUGAAGAGCUGAAGCGAACGUCACUCUGUUUUCAAUGUGCUCAUGGAAGACCCACAACUGUGCCUCUGGUGAAUCUGAAGGCAUUGCACAUGAGGAUCCUGCAACUUGGAUCUUGGAGUGAUCUUUCAAAGAAUACUUGGCAUGGACUCUGUAGAAAGGAGAUUAGUCUUGAUCGUGCCAAACGCAGACUUGAUGCAGCAAGAGGCAGUGAAUGAAAAACUGUGCCUUUUAGUCUAGUGCUGAGUUUACGUAAUAAUAUAAGUUGGAUUUUUCAAAGUAUGGCUGCAGACUUUCAUCGGUGGGGAAUUGGGUUCAAUACUAAAAAUAUGACUCGCGUAUGUUGUGAAUAUGGGCACACGAGUAUGAGAAAGGAGAUGGGAUCAGGAGGAAGGAACAAAGCACAACAUGCACAAAGCAUAUUCAAUGCAAAGAAAAAGCAAAAAGAAUGUUUUAUGGAAACUUAAGAAUAACUUUCACCCCUAAGGAUGAAUACAAACACACAAGAUUGAGAAAGGAGAUGAGACAAGGAAGAACGAAUGAAACACACACAAUGCAAAGAACAAACAAGACCCAAGGGUCAAAGAAAUUUAAUGCAAGAAUCCCAAAAAAAUUAUAUGUGAAAACAACAGAAGAUCAGACAUAUGGCCGUCCUUGAAAGUGCCUGCUGCUACAUCUAUGCUCUAUCGAGCCAUAGAUUGCUGAGUGGAGUCUCCUUUGUUUCAUUACAUUUUUUCCCUUUGUUUCCUAUGUUCUGUAUUCUCCACCUUUAUAUGAUUAAUAUUGGGAUAGUUGUAUAAACUAGACCUCUAGACAUAUGAUUGCUCUUUAAAUAAUGCGUACCUGGCAUUGAUGAACAUACAUGUAUUUGUAAUUAGGACUAAGGAAUUAAAUUAAAGGUUAGAAUAACCUUUUCCCACGUUUCUCCUUACCGUUGGCAGUUAUUCCGUUACUGACUUUCCUAGGUUUUCCCACUACUCCUUUACUUGGUCGUCAUUAGGUUUAUCUUUAGUGGGGAAGACUUUUCCUGGUAUAAGCUACCUUGGAACACUGUAUAGUUGAUGGGUUUCAUGAGUAUAUCAUUUGUAGUCUAGCCCCAAGCCUCGGAUGAUCCAUGGCACACUAUUGAUCUGUUAGCCCACAUAUGACAUGUUGGGCUAGACGCAUACAAAAGUAAACACACAUAUUUCUUGGCAAGAGAAAGGUGAAAAUAAUAGUUUUAACAAAGAAAAUGUUUGGAAAACCUUGAAUUCAAAGAAAUUCCAAAAUCAAUGAAUCCAAAUUAUGUUUGAUAAUUGUACAAAAAAAUUUGAGUUCUUGAGAAUUUCUCUAUGUUGAUUCAUGCAAUUGAUUAUUGAAUAUAACUUUGAAUUAAGAACCAAUAAAAUGACUCCCAAAAGUUGGUCUUUCAAGUGCUCAAAAUAACUUUCGUUUAUGUGCAAUUUUUAAGCUUACACCGUUACACGUCUAACACAAAAGAAAACUGUUGAAAAAGCGUUAAUCACAACACCGAGUCGUCAAUAUCUUAGACUAACGCAUGUAUUCUUCAUGGAAAUGAGUUGCUCCAAUUUGUCCAAAAUCAUUGAGUACUGACUGACAACUCGUUGAUAUCUCAAGACUAAUGCAUGUAUUCUUCAUGGAAAUGAGUUGCUCCUAAUGUUGAUAUCUCAGACUAAUGCAUGUAUUCUUGGAAAUGAGUUGCUCCAAAUGUUGAUAUCUCAUACUAAUGAACGCAUUCCUCAUGGAAAUGAGUUGCUCCAAGUUCUCCAAAACCGACGUCCACUAACAACCCGUUUUGGCGACCGGGCCUACCACAACUUGUCAUUGCUUUUGUGUACCUUAUAAAAUGAUGAAAUACUUAAUAUGGACCUGUUAUUGCCACAUACUUUAAUUAGAAUAUCAUGGAAAUGAGUUGGAUUUAUAUCCAAUACUUUAAAAUUCAUAAUUUCAGCAAUCAUCUCUCAUUUAGAGUAUUUUGUGAUUUCUUUGAAGUGAUAAUAUUGCUUGAUGUCCCUAUACAAGUCGAAUCAAGGCGAAUACAUCCAACGACGUAGAGAUGUUGAACACAUGUAACGCUUGACACGCAUCUAUCAUUUGACAUAUUAGGCUGCAUCCACAUGUUUACGUAAGUUUGCUAGUCAAAAUGCCCUUGACUUCCUUAGAGUGGCCAAACUCAAACAUACAUAUGUAAAUAUGUAAAAAUUGUGUUCUCAUGACAAGGCACUACCAACUAUUUGAGUUUUCUCAAAGGCAUAGUUUUGGAGAAGAUUUUAUGGACCACUAACUUGUGGGUCAAAACUUUAUUAUUUACAAUCAUUGAGUGAAUGAUUGAAUUAGAUUCACGUGACCUCAUAAUUCAUAUUAUGUUUUAGAUUGAGUUUUCUCACUAGUAUUUAUUUGAUACGGAGAAAUUUUCCCAUGUAACAUGAAUGAACAUGUUUCACUUUCAUUAAAACUGUGAAUGAACUUGCUCCUUGCUGGCUUGCUGCUACUACA